rnacentral:rRNA from 1 species
AUUGAACGCUGGCGGCAGGCCUAACACAUGCAAGUCGAGCGGAUGAAGGGAGCUUGCUCCUGGAUUCAGCGGCGGACGGGUGAGUAAUGCCUAGGAAUCUGCCUGGUUGUGGGGGAUAACGUCCGGAAACGGGCGCUAAUACCGCAUACGUCCUGAGGGAGAAAGUGGGGGAUCUUCGGACCUCACGCUCUCAGAUGAGCCUAGGUCGGAUUAGCUAGUUGGUGGGGUAAAGGCCUACCAAGGCGACGAUCCGUAACUGGUCUGAGAGGAUGAUCAGUCAAACGGGAACUGAGACACGGUCCAGACUACUACGGGAGGCAGCAGUGGGGAAUAUUGGACAAUGGGCGAAAGCCUGAUCCAGCCAAGCCGCGUGUGUGAAGAAGGUCUUCGGAUUGUAAAGCACUUUAAGUUGGGAGGAAGGGCAGUAAGUUAAUACCUUGCUGUUUUGACGUUACCAACAGAAUAAGCACCGGCUAACUUCGUG